rnacentral:lncRNA from 1 species
AAGAAUGUAACUAAUGAUGAAGUUCAGAAUGAACAAGAGGCUUCUGUUAAUCCACCAGUGCUUGUAGUGCAGGUAGUUCAGGAUUCAAACAUGGUUAAUGAGGGUCAAGCAACUAGUCCCUUGCAACAAAAUGAACUUAUGAAUCCAGAAGGGCAAUUAAGUGAAGUAACUAUUGCUAUCACCAGUAAUAGUGAACAGGUGGUUGACACUGGUAAUAGAGGGAAAGCUAUCAUAAAUGAUAUGGAUAGCAGGG